rnacentral:rRNA from 1 species
CAGCCGUAAACUAUGCGCGUUAGGUGUACUGGUGACCACGAGUCACCGAGGUGCCGAAGGGAAACCGUGAAACGUGCCGCCUGGGAAGUACGGUCGCAAGGCUGAAACCUAAAGGAAUUGGCGGGGGAGCACCACAACAGGUGGAGCCUGCGGUUUAAUUGGACUCAACGCCGGGAAGCUCACCGGAUAGGACAGCAGAAUGAUUGCCGGGCUGAAGACCCUGCAUGACUAGCUGAGAGGAGGUGCAUGGCGUCAGU